rnacentral:rRNA from 1 species
AGGACGAACGGCUGGCGGCGUGCCUAAUACAUGCAAGUCGAACGGUCUUUCUAUGGAAGCUUGCUUCCACUGAGAAGAUAGUGGCGAACGGGUGAGUAACACGUGGGUAACCUGCCCAUAAGAGGGGGAUAACAUCCGGAAACGGGUGCUAAUACCGCAUAGUCUUCUUGAUCGCAUGAUCGGGAAAGGAAAGACGGCCUUUGUGCUGUCGCUUAUGGAUGGACCCGCGGCGUAUUAGUUAGUUGGUGAGGUAACGGCUCACCAAGACGAUGAUACGUAGCCGACCUGAGAGGGUGAUCGGCCACAUUGGGACUGAGACACGGCCCAAACUCCUACGGGAGGCAGCAGUAGGGAAUCUUCCGCAAUGGACGAAAGUCUGACGGAGCAACGCCGCGUGAGUGAAGAAAGGUUUUCGGAUCGUAAAACUCUGUUGUCAGAGAAGAGCAAGUUGGAGAGUAACUGCUCCAGCCUUGACGUAUCUGACCAGAAAGCCACGGCUAACUACGUGCCAGCCGCCGC